UACAGAGGGUGCGAGCGUUGUUCGGAAUUAUUGGGCGUAAAGCGCUCGUAGGCGGCAUGUCAAGUCGCGUGUGAAAUCCCCAGGCUUAACCUGGGAAGUGCGCGCGAAACUGACGAGCUUGAGUGCCGGAGAGGGUCGCGGAAUUCCCGGUGUAGAGGUGAAAUUCGUAGAUAUUCGGAAGAACACCAGUGGCGAAGGCGACUUACUGGACACAUAUUGACGCUGAGGUGCGAAAGCGUGGGGAGCAAACAGG
rnacentral:rRNA from 1 species